rnacentral:lncRNA from 1 species
CAUUAGAUUUCACACAGGCUGACUGGGGGGCCUGAGAGCCGGGUCCAGGCUCUGGGCUGGGCUCUGAGCAGCAGGGGUUUCGGCGAAUCCCGAAUGAGCAGCACCCUGAGCACCGUUGUCCUAGAAAUUACAAAAUAGACAGAAAUCAGUUGAUUUCCCAGUUAUUUUCCUUCUAAUCACUAUGGUUCUUUAACAAUCAUGAAACCGUUCUCAGAUUUUGGUACAAGAAAACAUACAUAGGCUUUGAGAGUUUCUUACACUUAAGCC